UGGUCCCCGAGUGGGAGGGAGAGAACGACCACUGUUGUAAGAAAUAAAUAUCGGUGUGUGUCUUAGAAGUUCACGACUAAGUGACGAAGUCCCGAAGUAAGUAAAUCUCGAAAUGAGUGUUCACACAGUUUUAAGGAGAUCGUGUCAUUCUAUGAGCCACAAAUUUAGCAUCCGUUUUGCGCCAAUUAAGGACGAACUACGGCAGUAGCAAUACCCUCUUGCCGUAAAUCAAUGUCGUCAUAUUACGUCAAGAACACCGGUCGCCAAGUGAGAGGGAACAAAAAACGCCACUGUGUUGUAAGAAAUAUCGGUGUAAACUUGACAUUUAACGACCAAGUGACGAAACAUGGCUGUUGAAUUUCGGGUUGAUCGGUGAAAUUUUCCAGGAAACGCUACUGAGUGAAAUCUGGGAUAAGGAUGGAUUCUCUUGUCUUGGCGGCGUACCUUAGCGGUCAUGGCACCUGCUAACAAGCGCGACGACGUUGGCCAAAACAGAACACAGAAGGUUACUCAUCAGAAGAAGACACAUCACACGUCAGCGGCCACUUCCGGGGGAAUUGACAACGUGCACAAAACUGCCGGGAAGUAAGGCUAGUGGGAUGGCACACCCAGGCAUCUUGCGGCUGUGCAACCAGGUGGAUGCUUUGCUGAACUAACAAGGCGGCGUGAAGUGUGCGCUUGUUCUUGCUGGGUGGCUGCCUGAAAUGUCAGCGCUGAAGGAACAGAUAGUGCCAGUUUGUAAAAAGACGCCCUCUUGUGGACGAGGGGUGCAACUAUCUCUGAUCAAGAUGUGGAAAAAGACACAAACAUGAGGAAAACACCAAAAAGUGCUCGCGGUAGGACAUCAGCCGCUCACCUGGCUGAAGGGGACUCAGGCUAAUCUCAAAUCCGAUUAGCCUCCUUAUCUACUCAGUCCUGCUUUUAUGUUCUUUGGAGACUAUUGAAAUACCAUGCAAAGAAGACACACUCCAAAGUCUCGUUGCUGACAUAGCUCUAAAAAAGGGCUAAAGAAUGGAAAAGCAUGUGUAUUUCCUUUCACUUUUCACUUGUUGGAUUGAAUUUGUUCUCAUACAGCAUGCAUCUGCAAAUUUCUUGACUUUUAUAUCCAA